GAGGGUGUAGCUCAGUGGUAGAGCACAUGCUUGGCGUGCACAAGGUCCUGGGUUCAAUCCCCAGCACCUCUG
rnacentral:tRNA from 1 species